rnacentral:ncRNA from 1 species
NNNNUAUGCUUAACACAUGCAAGUCAAAUGUUGUAAAACAUGGCAAACGGGUGCGUAACACGUGAAUAAUCUACCCUUUAGUUCAGCAUAAUUAUUUAUUUAAAAAUUCUGAAUAAAAAAUAAAGUUUAAAAAACGCUAUUGGAUGAGUUUGCGGAAGAUUAGGUAGUUGGUAGUUUAAAAGACUUACCAAGCCUACGAUCUUUAGCUGAUUUGAAAGAAUGAUCAGCCACAUUGGGACUGAGACACGGCCCAAACUUUUUUAAAGGCAGCAGUGAGGAAUAUUGGACAAUGAGCGAAAGCUUGAUCCAGCAAUACCAAGUGAGUGAAGAAGGCUAAUAGGUUGUAAAGCUCUUUCAUUAAGGAAGAAAAAAGACAGUACUUAAAAAAGAAGUUCCGGCUAAUUUCGUGCCAGCAGCCGCGGUAAUACGAGAGGAGCG